CCAGAGAACUUUCCAGAGAUGGAUUGGUGCCUUCGGGAACUCUGAGACAGGUGCUGCAUGGCUGUCGUCAGCUCGUGUUGUGAAAUGUUGGGUUAAGUCCCGCAACGAGCGCAACCCUUAUCCUUUGUUGCCAGCGGUUAGGCCGGGAACUCAAAGGAGACUGCCAGUGAUAAACUGGAGGAAGGUGGGGAUGACGUCAAGUCAUCAUGGCCCUUACGAGUAGGGCUACACGCGUGCUACAAUGGCGCAUACAAAGAGAAGCGACCUCGCGAGAGCAAGCGGACCUCAUAAAGUGCGUCGUAGUCCGGAUUGGAGUCUGCAACUCGACUCCCAUGAAGUCGGAAUCGCUAGUAAUCGUGGAUCAGAAUGCCACGGUGAAUACGUUCCCGGGCCUUGUACACACCGCCCGUCACACCAUGGGAGUGGGUUGCAAAAGAAGUAGGUAGCUUAACCUUCGGGAGGGCGCUUACCACUUUGUGAUUCAUGACUGGGGUGAAGUCGUAACAAGGUAAGCGUAGUGCU
rnacentral:rRNA from 1 species